UACGUAGGGUGCAAGCGUUGUCCGGAAUUAUUGGGCGUAAAGGGCUCGUAGGCGGUUUGUCGCGUCGGGAGUGAAAUCCACUGGCUUAACUGGUGGCUUGCUUUCGAUACGGGCAGACUGGAGGUAUGCAGGGGAGAACGGAAUUCCUGGUGUAGCGGUGAAAUGCGCAGAUAUCAGGAGGAACACCGGUGGCGAAGGCGGUUCUCUGGGCAUGUCCUGACGCUGAGGAGCGAAAAGUGUGGGGAGCGAACAGG
rnacentral:rRNA from 1 species